rnacentral:rRNA from 1 species
GCGUGAGGGAUGACGGCCUGUGGGUUGUAAACCUCUUUUCUCAAGGAAGAAGUUCUGACGGUACUUGAGGAAUAAGCAUCGGCUAACUCUGUGCCAGCAGCCGCGGUAAUACAGAGGAUGCANGCGUUAUCCGGAAUCACUGGGCAUAAAGCGUCUGUAGGUGGUUUGGUAAGUCUGCUGUUAAAGACUGGGGCUCAACCCCAGAAAAGCAGUGGAAACUGCCAGACUUGAGUGUGGUAGAGGUAAAGGGAAUUCCUAGUGUAGCGGUGAAAUGCGUAGAUAUUAGGAAGAACACCAAUGGCGAAGGCACUUUACUGGGCCAUAACUGACACUGAGAGACGACAGCUAGGGGAGCAAAUGGGAUUAGAUACCCCAGUAGUCCUAGCCGUAAACGAUGGAUACUAGAUGUUGCACGUAUUAACCCGUGCAGUAUCGUAGCUAAGGCGUUAAGUAUCCCGCCUGGGAAGUACGCUCGCAAGAGUGAAACUCAAAGGAAUUGACGG